AGAUAUGAGGAUGCAGGACAGUACUACUGUGAGGCCAGGAAUGCAUAUGGAGCUGAGAACUCAUCUGCUUUGUCCAUCACAGCUGAAGCUGGACAGAGCCAUGUAAUGGGUGCCAUUGUGGUUAUUGCAGUUUGUGGAGUGCUAUGUCUACUGGGUAUGAUUCUCUUUGUCAGUUGCUUUGUUAAACGCAGGAAAGAAGGGAGGAUGCAAUCAGGACAAGAUCAGAGAGGAAGUGGUCAAACUAAUGUGAUCAACUUGAACUCAAUUCACCCUGACCCAGUCUACCAGAACCUGAACCCCAACACCACCC